rnacentral:rRNA from 1 species
AGCGAACGCUGGCGGAAUGCUUAACACAUGCAAGUCGCACGCCCUGCAAGGGGAGUGGCGGACGGGUGAGUAACGCGUAGGAAUAUGUCCAGAGGUGGGGGACAACCCUGGGAAACUGGGGCUAAUACCGCAUAUGGGCUGAGGCCAAAGCAGUGAUGCGCCUUUGGAGUAGCCUGCGUCCGAUUAGCUUGUUGGUGGGGUAAAGGCUUACCAAGGCGACGAUCGGUAGCUGGUCUGAGAGGACGACCAGCCACACUGGGACUGAGACACGGCCCAGACUCCUACGGGAGGCAGCAGUGGGGAAUAUUGGACAAUGGGCGCAAGCCUGAUCCAGCAAUUCCGCGUGGGUGAAGAAGGUCUUCGGAUUGUAAAGCCCUUUCGACGGGGACGAUGAUGACGGUACCCGUAGAAGAAGCCCCGGCUAACUUCGUGCCAGCAGCCGCCGCGG